UCUUGUACCUUCGUAUAUAUCCUUUCCUUGAAUCCUGUACAGCCCUCUUCUUCCUUGUUUGUUCUUGUUCUAUUGGUCCAAGAGUCCUGUACGUAAGUGUGAAAUUUGUCCCAGAGUCUUGUAGUCAGAGAGAAGCAAGCUCCUGUAAGCUAUCUCCUUCCUCUGUAAAUACUGUUCAUCUCUUUGUUUCUUUAUCCUGUAAGUUCUUCAUGUUCGUGUGUCCUUCAUUUAUA
rnacentral:lncRNA from 1 species